CGAGAUGCUUCCUCCUCAGUCUGUGUGGGGAAAAGUCAGAUUUCAGCGGGGGAGGGAGAUUGAGUUGAUUUGCAGUUUAAAAUUCAGAUCUGAGAAAGAUGAGACAAAGUGGAUCAGGCAGAAGAGUCUGGAGCAACUGUUACCACUGCUGUUCCUGGAGAGAGACUAUCACUGUGCAGUGUUGAGCCUUCACUCACCUGAAAUUUAUAAUACUGCUUCAGUCUGUCUGAAGAGUCUGGCAAAUAGCUUUUGCUGAUGAUUAUACUUAAAAUCUAAACUGCUUUCCUUUCUGAUUUUUUCUAAGCAGGACAUGACCUAUCAGUGUUGUACUGAGAGGAACAUGGUUUCUGGCACAUUUUGAGGCAUAAAACAAUUUAAAAUAACAUCUCCACCUAGUGGCCAACCAAUAAAGCACAAUUGUACUAAUUUCUGGCCUGAUUUAAUUUCAAACUAGUUCUUAGAAAAAGAUGAUAUAAACUAAUGCAUAUCUAAAAUACAUGCCAAAUUAGGGGCUCCCUUUUGUACAUCUGGAUUAUCAAAACUACAUAAAGACAGUAACGUUUACCCCUUUAAGAUAAAAAGUCCUUAUUUGAGUAGGUUAGUGGUAUUUGAACACAAUCUAAAGAAAUAAUGGAAAAAAUGGGAACAGCAUUUUUUCCAUCAAUACAAUAACACAUGCUUAAUAACAAAGAAAUACAACAGCUAGUACUAAUAUUAUAGUUUUCUUUCAUCAUACCUACCUUAUUAAAGUUUAAGGCCCAUCAGCCCCAUUUUUUCACAUAGGGAAAAUACAGUGCACAGAGAGGUUAACAGCUAGGUCCAGAAAGGUGACUUAGACUCAGCAGUGCAAUCCCUAAAAUGUAGGCAUCCUGGGGUGCAGUGGAAUCUACAGACCCAAGUUACGUCCCAAAGAACAGGAUUCACACAAGCCAGCAUGCUGAACAGGAAGCUGCCUAAAGCAGGCAAUAGAAAAUGUUGGAAAGGGGUGUGCUCUUAAGUUUUGGCCCUUAAAGGGAAUUGGGCACAUAACUAGACUGCAGGGAGAUAUUUCCCUCCACUCUGCAUUCAUAGGCCUGAACCCACCCCUGGAGUUAGGCCAGAUCCAGCUUAGGUGCCUUUCUCAC